rnacentral:rRNA from 1 species
UACGGAGGGUGCAAGCAUUAAUCGGAUUUAUUGGGCGUAAAGGGCGCGUAGGCGGUCGUAUAAGUCAGAUGUGAAAUCCCGGGGCUCAACCCCGGAACAGCAUUUGAAACUGUGCGACUAGAGGAUAGGAGGAGAAAACGGAACUCCACAUGUAGCGGUGAAAUGCGUAGAUAUGUGGAAGAACACCGGUGGCGAAGGCGGUUUUCUAUCUUAUUCCUGACGCUGAGGCGCGAAAGCAAGGGGAUCAAAC